AACGAACGCUGGCGGCAGGCCUAACACAUGCAAGUCGAACGCUCCGCAAGGGGAGUGGCGCACGGGUGAGUAACACGUGGGAACCUACCUUCUGGUACGGAACAACCAAGGGAAACUUUGGCUAAGACCGUAUACGACCUCCGGGCGAAAGAUUGAUCGCCGGAAGAGGGGCCCGCGUCCGAUUAGGUAGUUGGUGAGGUAACGGCUCACCAAGCCUUCGAUCGGUAGCUGGUCUGAGAGGAUGACCAGCCACACUGGGACUGAGACACGGCCCAGACUCCUACGGGAGGCAGCAGUGGGGAAUAUUGGACAAUGGGCGCAAGCCUGAUCCAGCCAUGCCGCGUGAGUGAUGAAGGCCUUC
rnacentral:rRNA from 1 species